rnacentral:tRNA from 1 species
GGGGCCAUAGAUCAGGGGCUAGAGCAGCUGCUUUGCACGCAGUGUGCCCGGGUUCGAUUCCUGGUGGCUCCA